rnacentral:lncRNA from 1 species
AGGAUUUUGAGAGUGUGACUACAAGAGGACAUAGACAUGCUACUCACGCUUUUAAAGAUUAGAAAUUUGUUAAGAGAGAGAGAGAGAUUUAGCUACAAUAUUAAUCAAGGUGAGUAUUUCUAGAAGCUCUUUCAUGAUUUGUGCUGGUAAUAGUUUAUUACAUUUAUUGUAUAUACAAUAUUUGCCUGUCAUUUAAUAGAAGUUUUAAAGGAAUGAUGGCAAAUGAAAAUAAUAACAUCCAAGAAAGUCGAUUAUCAAUGAAAUUAAUUACUGUAAACUUCUUAUAGAAAUUAUUUCACUUUAUUAAAUUAAUUAUAUUUCAACUUAACAAAAUGUUACUGCUUUGAAUAUUGAUAUAUCAAAACAAUGGUAUUAAUGCACUGCACUUGGAGUAGCAGUAUGAUCAUAUUUGUGUGCAGAUACUACUAAAUAGUAGAUUCAUCUAUUUAUAUAUUUUUCUGUCAGCCGUCUUAUCUAACUAUCUAUUUAAUAUUUUUAUUUGUCUCUCUAUCCUUAUCACAUGUUGUGCUUCUCUGUCUUGCUAAGAUAAAUGUUAUACUUGCAUAUUCCUGAAUUUGUAAUCAUUUUCUGCCUGUCUGUUUACAAUAUUUAGUUACGUCAUUAGUUUUAUUGUGUAAUACAAACUUUGGCGUUCGAUGAAGUUUUUAAGGAAACUUCAAAGAAGUUCAGCAAUGGAAUAUGUUACAUACUGACAUAUGGAUUUAUGUUUGCUUUUUAAUGACUAAGUUAAUAGAGUAUGGGCAGCACUCAUGACUUUACAGAGUCCCUGAGACUGGUGGGAUAAAAAUAAGAAGUUAUCUUUGGGCUGGACACCUGGCCUAAAAGUUGGUCACAAAGUUAAUUCCUUUAAGGGCAUCCUUGUGCCAGCUGGUGUUAGGAGUGGUGUUACUUAACCUGUUAAAGGAAUAAGCCUGCCAAGCAAAAACUGAAACACCAAUGAGCUUCUGUACAGAUUCUGUUUACCAAAUUUCCCCCAUUAGGCUUUGGUUAAUCUAAGACUAUUAAGGAAGAAGACACUGCCUUAGGUGGCAUACAGUAGAAUUGAAUCUAUGUACUUGUGAAGUCAUCUUAACCAUGCAGUCAUAUCUAUAAAGUAAACAACUGUAAAGUACUUAAUUCUAUGGUAAUAGUUUAGCUCAACAGGAAAAAUAAAACUGUGUAAAUGGUAUGACUGUGUGUGUGUGUGAGAGAGAGAGAGAGAGAGGAGGAAGAGAUGGAGAGAGAGAGGAGGAAGAGAUGGAGAGAGAGAGGAUGAAGAGAUGGAGAGAGUGAGAGGAGGAAGAGGUGGAGAGAGAUAGAGAGAGGAGGAAGAGAUGGAGAGAGAGAGAGAGGAGGAAGAGAUGGAAAGAGAGAGAGGAGGAAGAGAUGGAGAGAGAGAGAGGAGGAAGAGAUGGAGAGAGAGAGAGGAGGAAGAGAUGGAGAGAGAGAGAGGAGGAAGAGAUGGUGAGAGAGAGAGGAGGAAGAGAUGGAGAGAGAAAGAGAGGAGGAAGAGAUGGAGAGAGAGAGAGGAGGAAGAGAUGGUGAGAGAGAGAGGAGGAAGAGAUGGAGAGAGAGAGAGAGAGAGGAGGAAGAGAUGGAGAGAGAGAGAGGGAGGAGGAAGAGAUGGAGAGAGAGAGAGAGGAGGAAGAGAUGGAGAGAGAGAGAGAGAGAUCAUUUUAAAAGUUCCUUUUAACAGUUAGAAAAGAAUAUAUGUGUCAUCAGUUGGUGUUAAAAGUUCUACAUAAGUCAGUAAAUAGGAGAUGAUAGUGAUGCUGAGUUAAGUGAGUCCUUCCUAGAUCCUUAAAGAUUAGUCAGUCAGUGAGCCAAUAAGAGGUCCUUCAUGAUCUCUCAAUCUGUUAGAAGUAGCAGUCUGCUCAACCAGAGAUGAACUGAGGCUAAACAAAAGCAGCUAUUCAAUCAAGUACUGUAUUAAUUUUAAUAUUUUAAAUUGUAAAACUGUCUUUGACACACCUAAUAAUUGAAUGUACUCACAAAAAGAUAGCCUUGUUACGAAUACUUACUAGAGCUACAGCUAUAUUCCAUUAUAUGUCUGAAAGCAAAAAUCAAUUGAUUCAUCAAGGAUAGGGCAUGGUUGAAUGCUUUUUUUUAAUAUUAUGUGUGGAUAAAACAAGUACUUUUGAUGCAGCAAAGUAGACUUGAUGGCUUUAUCACCAUCAUUAUCAGUAUUAUCAUUAAUAUUCUAAGGACAAUAAAAUGUUUAUGGACAAGUAGAAAUAAAUUGAUAUGGUUUGAAUAUAAUUCUUGUUUCUAACUACUUUCUGUACCCAUCAUAAGUUUUUGAUAUAGAAAAACAUUUGUUAUGAAAAAUUAAUCACUAUAGAAACCAAUUAUUUCUUUUGAAGCUAACAAGUGAAACUGUAUAUGGUUAGCAGCUCAACCUGCUGGAAAUAGAAGUAAAAUCUCAUAUUCUAUUAUUUGGCUAAAGCGGACUUAUUGGAUGAGAUGGUUCUAUAUGCAUUCUGAAAAUGAAGAUGGGAUGAUCAUGACUGAAAUAUUUUUGACCAUGGGUCUGCUCUAUUAGAGUUUACCCUUAGCUAAACAAUGACGUUCCUUCUUCUGAAUAAGCACAGGGACAGUAUUUAUUGAAAGGCUGGCAUGAGAUACUGUUGAAUGGUUCAAAUCCAAUGUAUGAUAGCUGCUGGCACCUAUUCUAUCAAUUCUUUAGAUGACCAGCCAUUGGCUAAUGUAAACUUAGGCACAUUAUGCUUGAAAAAGAAACACAAAGUUAUCAUAACUAGAACAUCUUUGAUAUUUGGCCUGCUGGAAUAGUACUGAUCAAAAAAUGCAAGAUCAAAAAGUACAAGGAUAAAAAGUGAAGUCAAGCUAGGAAACUGUUAACUUAGAAUAAUGAUGCAUUUUUACUAGAGAUAAGGCCAAUUUUCAUUGGUGAGUUGUAUAAUCAACAGAUUAAAUCCCAGUAGAUGACUGAUAUUGGCAUUUGUUUUAUUGACUUGCUGAGACAGAAGAGAUGAAGAUAACUCAAUCAGAAUUUGAAUUCACAACUAAGAGAUGAAACUACACUAACAGUUAUGAAUCCAUUCCUUUUAUUGUAAUUCAAUUCAAUUCACAUCUAGGAAACAUUAUAAGAAUUGACAGCACUGUAUGUCUGGUAUUUUAUUUAAUUGAUCCAGGAAAAAUGAAAAACAAAGUUGACCUUGGUGUGAUUUGAACUCCAAAAUACAAAGGACCAUAACUGGAAACUAGAGGGACUUUGUCCAUUGUUCUUACAAUUCUUUUCAUUUUAUGACUUUGAAUUGACAAUUCAUCUCCAAUUUUAUUAUGUAAAUUAAAAAGGAAAUUAAGGUCAAUGAUGAUAUUUCUUGGAUCUGACACAAAACUGUUUUUAUAAAGGAAACAUGGAACUAAGUGCAUCAACACCAGUAUAUUGCCUUGACAAUAGAGAAAAAGCUAGGCUGACUGAGGUGACAUUCGAACUUAGAGAAGGGAAUUGUUGCUUGAACCCAAGUCAACCCUAAUUAAGUAAAAUCUAUGACCAAAAGCAUUUCAAUUAUGUCCAACUGUUUUUCUUGCACACUUAACUACAUUAUCCAGUGUGUCCUUUUAUAAGAUCACUAUCUGAUGAGGUGACCAUGUAGAAGCUGCAUCAUUAACUCAAGAAUAAGUGAAUUGUUAAACUAGAUGCAAUGGACCAUAAUUCUUCUGACUUAAUUAUUUUUGCUACUCUUAUCAGAACCAAUAAUAAUAUUUCCUUAAAUAAGUAUUAGAUCUUAGAUGAGUAAAGAUCUUCAGUACAUGAACUAGUAGUUGUAAAUAAUUAUUUUAGAGUAGACAGUAGUCUAACAUUUGUCAUUGACUUCAAUAUAUCACUGACAGUUGGCAUACUUGGUGACUCAGAAGAGUUUAACCCUUUAGCAUUCAGACUACUUUGUUAAAUUUAAUGCUUAUUUAUCCACAUCAUUUUGAAUUGAUUAUGCACUAUCUCAUAGCUUUGAGAUUUUGAUGAUGUGAUUGUUUGUUUUUAAAAUGACAUUGUAGCAUAGGUGUGAGAGGCCAGAUCAGGCUGAUUUUGAGAUAAAAGAGGUAGAAUAUUUUGACCAGAUAUGGUUGGUUUAAAUGCUAAAGGGUUAAAAAUAAAGCCAGGCCCAGUGUGAUUUGAACAGAAGACAGUAAGGUCCUGAACUUGACAAUGUAAAACAUUUAUUCAACAUUAAUUCAGCAUAUAUUCACUUAUGUUAAAGUCAGGCACUUUGCAUUCCCUCAGUGUCAUAAUAAUAUUUAUUAGUCCACAUUGGAAGGAUGACAGGCUUCUUUGCUAUCUAAAUGUGUAUAUGAAUGUGCUAUCUUUGCUAUCUGAAUGUGUAUAUGUGUAUAUAUGGGCAUAUCAAAAACUUUUAUCAUUGAACUAUCUAAAGUUUUGUUUCUUUCAGUCUAUUAUCUUAGGUUUUGUCACUCCACCACCAAAUAUUUUUGUCAUUCUACCAUCUAAUGUUUUUAUCAUUACUCCAUCUAAUAUUUUACUUAUGCUGUUGUCUAAUAUUUUCUAAUAUGCCUCCUAUUAUUUAAUGUCAUUCAUUAUACCAUCUAAUAUAUCAGCCAUUACAGUAUCUAAUGUCUCAGCUAUUAUAUCAUCUUAUAAAUGUAACACUACACCAUUUUAUGUAUCAGCCAUUAUAUCAUUUAGUAUGUCAGAUAUUUCACCAUCUAAUAAGUCAAUCAUUACACCCUUGUUGGUUGCUACACUAUCUAAUAGAUUAGCCACUAUGCCAACUAAUAUGACAGCCAUUGCAGUAUCUAAUAUGUCUAUCAUGAUACCUUGUCAUAGUUUUGCUGCAUUAAUUAUUAUUGUGUAUCAGGCAACAAGAGUGUUAUGUGGUCUCAUGAUCUAUAAGAGACAGUUGCCAAAUUUCUCCUAUCAUACACUAUUGUUAUUAAAGUAAGUCAUAUCUGAGGAAAAUGGCAGGAUUGGUAUAGCCCAAAUACUGCCUUUUACCAAAGGUCUACUUGAACAGGACCAAAACGACAACAACGACAUAUCAAACAUGUCAUGUCAUUAGCUCAUUUUAUUUUUAACUAUGUAAAUUAUACAGUCCAAAGACUCUUUCUAACUCUUUCUAAAUGUAAAAAUCUACAUCACCUGAUCAACAAGCUUGUUUAGACUAUCCUAUGCUGAUGAGUUCUUGCAGACUGAAAUAUGACCAUAGUUGUAUUUUUGCUGCAAUAGUCAGACUUUCCUUCUCCUUGGCAUGAAAAUUAACAUUGAGAAAUUAAUUCUGCAUUUCUUGAAAUUAUCUUCCCUUUUCUCUGUGAGUUUCUAAAUAACCAUUUAUUGCUAAGUUUGUGUUUUCUUUUUCCAACUUUGAGAGAUCUUUUUUCCUUUUUAAUUGGUUAAGGAUUUUUUUUAGAUAUAUCAUUCAGUACAUUAUCUCUUAAUUUAAUUAUCAGCCACUUCAUUGUCUAAUAUGUAUGCCUCUCCACCAUGUAAUCUCUUUAUCAUUUCCUACAGUAUGUGUGGCAUUUCCCCAUAUAGUGUCUGUCAUUCCCUCAUCUAAUUUGUCUGCCACUGCGCUAUUUAUUAUACCAAACAUUCCAUUAUCUGAUAUUUAUGUCAGAAAACCAUCUGAGAUAUUCCUAAGUUUGGAUAGGAGUGGGCACAGCAAGGAAGGAAAGUAUUUACUUUAUUAAAAUCAUUUCUCAGAAUAAAAUCAUUUACUAAGUCUUAAAAAUAACUUUAUGGAAUAUUCAGGAUCUUUGUUUCAGAAAUUACCAGGAACUGUGUUCUCAUUCUAUUUGAAAUGACAGGCUUGUGUGAAUCUGAAUUCAGUUCUGGGAAUUUAGGAAUAGUCUAAAUUCACAGGCAGCCCUGUUGAUUGCAAAGAGCAAGAAAGUUCUAUAGUUUGAUAUGAAAUCAUGAAUGAAAAGCAGGAACAAAGAAGUUGCUAAAAUUUAUGCUUAUAAUUGAUUUCCCUGUUUAUAGUUCUUUUUUGAAUGCUCAAUUAACAUCUGCAUUUUAUACUCCGAGUCAAAAGCUUAAUUUUUAAGUUCAGUGUGUUCAACCACAGUACUACUGUAUGUAGUAUAAUUUUUAAAAAAUAAAUUGCAUAUUCAAAACUUGAGUUUUCAUUUUACAUGAUACUACUUCUGUAAGGAGUAUGAAAAUUAACCAAAUAUGUUGGGUGGGUGAGGGGCGUAUAAGAAAGGUUGGAAACUGCAGAUCUAAUGUUUCUACCACUCCACUGCUUGAUAUUUAUAUCACUUCACCCAUCUAAUAUUUACUUCACUUCAUUAUCUAAUAUACAGGUCCCUAACAACCAGGCUACAUACCAGUACUGGAUCAUGGAUCAUUUGGCACCAAGCCACACAGAAAGAAUACAUUUCUUAAUUUUAUUUCUAUUUUAUU